rnacentral:rRNA from 1 species
GACGUAGGGGGCCAGCGUUGCUCGGAAUUACUGGGCGUAAAGGGUUCGUAGGCGGUGUGGCAAGUCGGAAGUGAAAUCUCUGGGCUUAACUCAGAGGCUGCUUCCGAAACUGCCGUGCUAGAGUGCGGGAGAGGCGAGUGGAAUUACAGGUGUAGCGGUGAAAUGCGUAGAUAUCUGUAAGAACACCCGUGGCGAAGGCGGCUCUCUGGACCGUAACUGACGCUGAGGAACGAAAGCUAGGGGAG